GGGGGGGGGGGGGGGCGGGCCGGGGGCGGGCAGGGCGGGCGGGGGGAGGGGGCGGGGGCCGGGGGGGGGCGGGGGGCGGGGGGGUAAUGCCCGGGAGGCUGCCCGGUCGUGGGGGCUAGCGUCCGGACACGGGCGCUAAUCCCGCACCCGUCCUGAGGGCGACACUGGGGGUUCCUCGGACCUCACGCGAUCCGCUGCGCCUAGGCCGGCUUAGCUCGUCGGACUGGUAACGGCCUACCCAGGCGACGAUCCGUAACUGGUCUGAGAGGCUGGUCAGCCACACUGGAACUGAGACACGGUCCAGACUCCUACGGGAGGCAGCAGUGGGGAAUCUUGGACAAUGGGCGAAAGCCUGAUCCAGCAAUGCCGCGUGUGUGAAGAAGGUCUUCGGAUUGUAAAGCACUUUAAGUUGGGAGGAAGAGCAGUAAGUGAAUACCUGGCUGUUUUGACGGUACCAACAGAAAAAGCAACGGCUAACUUCGUG
rnacentral:rRNA from 1 species